CCUUGGCAGCAAGCUGCACUUCAUCGAGGGCCCUCUGCUUUGGGAUUCACACUCUUUUCCCAGCUGCAGAAACCAGCCUCUGUCAGAGCAGAUCUGUUUGCACAAGCUGUCUCCUUGAAGUGCAUCAAGACCUUGUCUUGUACCCUCCAGGACUCCUGACUGGGCUGCCCUGGACUUCUGCUGGUUUGGUGUUUGCCUUUACAUCGUGCAAAUAUGUACACGGAAGACCUGACAGCCACAUUUCACGAGCCUUAAAAAUCAACAUUCUGGCCUAACCCUGCUCUCCUCUGCCUCCUGGCUCUGUAACAGGCUCUGCUCCUGCAUCUUCCCUGAGAUGACAGUGAAGAUGGCAGCAUUUAGAGGAAUUCCUGGCUGCAGCACAGCUCAGGCUGUAUGAUUUUCAUUAGCACUAACGAGCAGUAAGCAGCUGAUGUCCUGCUCAGGAAAACGACUGGAUCUCCAAGUAUUCCUCCCAAAUCAACAUGAUGGGGGAACAACAGGCUCUGCAGCCUUGGAUUCCUCAGCUCUGCAAAGGGAUUUACCUCUCCCUGGGUUUUCCUUCCCUUGGUCUCUUUUAGUGGUGCUGACAUUUGAUAACAAGCCUGUGUAUGAUUUGGAGUCUGCUUUUCCAGCUUCCCCAGCCCCCCCAAUCUGUUUGGGUUUUUUUAUUUAAAUGAGCCCAUGGAUCCUGAAGCUGAAAACUGUGUGACACAUCAUUUUGGUUUUUAAAAUGAUAUUAUGAGUCUCUCAUCCCUUCAAGGAACACUGAAAAAGGGAAAAGCACCACAGCAGCACACAGCCCAGCCCUACACAGUGCAGCCAGCCAGACAAAGCACCCCAUGCAUCUUGUUUUUUAAAAAUAAAAUGUGAUGGAACUGUUAUUUCCCCA